GUUGGGAUGGUUCACUUGGAAAAGCAUGAGAGUCUUAAUCUCAGAGUCAUGGGUUCAAGCCCCAUGCUGGGCA